rfam:Oryza sativa Japonica Group DNA, chromosome 6, cultivar: Nipponbare, complete sequence.
AAUAGAUGAUGCCGUUGACUUUUUCUCACAUGUUUGACCAUUCGUCUUAUUCAAAAAAUUUACGUAAUUAUAAUUUAUUUUAUUAUGAGUUGUUUUUUCACUCAUAGUACUUUAAGUGUGAUUUAUAUCUUAUACAUUUGUAUAAAACUUUUGAAUAAGACGAAUGGUCAAACAUGUGAGAAAAAGUCAACGGCGUCAUCUAUU